ACUUCCUCAAGUAGACAAGGCCCAACAUCUUCAUUCAUCUUCUCCAAUAUCUUCAUUCCUCUUCUCCAAUCCUCCCUCUUUCAAAACACUGAACCUAGCACCCAUCUCCUCCUCACAUCACCUCCUCCGCCACCCCUUUCACCUCCGCCGCCCUGCACCUCCGCCACCGCCCACCUCCGCCGCCCUGCACCUCCGCCACCCCUCCACCUUCGUCGCCCUCCUCCUCCAGCCGACACCCACCUCCGUCGCCCUCCUCCAGCCGACACCCACCUCCGUUCUGGGUUAUGCACCAUGGGAUGUUAGAAGUGCUGAAUUGAAGCCUAGAUUUGCAGAAGCUGCUGGUUAUUUGAGUGAUUUGCAGAAGCCUAGCUUGGAAUCUUGGGAUUAAAGGGUUUCCUACUUUGCUUCUGUUUGUUAAUGGCAGUUCUCAACAUUAUACUCGUGGAUUUUCAUUGGAAGAAAUUGUGAUACGGGUGAGGAAGAAGACGGGUACCCCUCUUCGAAGUUAAAAACAAACAGUCUUCUUGUUGCAGACUGCAGAGGUUUGGUCCACCUCUUCUGCUACAGAUGUCUGCAGAUGUUGUCCGCAGACUGCAGACGUUUUACCUCUGAAAAAACAAACAACACCUAGGAUGCGACACCUAGGUGGUGUUAAAAAGAGUUAAAGUAUACCCCAGGCCUUAGGCUAUAGGGUAUGGGGGUUAUGGGUUGGAUCAUGCUUUGCCACGUGGAACAUGGAUCCAUUGCUACACCACCUCUCUUGUUGAACCACCGUGGUUUGCGUGGUUCAAUACAUGGCAACCACAAGCCCCAUCUGAUGAUUUUGAUGUUUUGGAAUUAAUUAAAAAAAUAAAUGGUAGAUGGUGGGUUUGGGUCAUGACCAUACCAUAUAGAGUGGUGGAUGUCAGUGGGGUGACAUGGGGCUGACGUGAAGAGUGAUGGUGGUCAGGGGCGUAGCUUAGUUGAUAUCCGGGGGUGCACCCCCGCAAUUAUUUUGCCUAAAUACUUAUAUAAUAUAUAAAUUGUGUCCCAUGACUUUCCGUCCCCCGAAACUUUUGAUCAAGCUCCACCACUGGUGAUGGUCAUUUAGGUCAGGAUCAUAUUAUACCCUAUAGCCUUAGAAUGUGUGUUUGUGUUUAUUAUUUUUCUACUUCGAUUUUAAGAGGGAAGGCAGUUAGUUUUACUACAACACGAAUACAACAAAUUUAUUAAACGGUCUAUAGUUGCCAACCCUGUCUAUUUAUUAAACAUAUUAUAGACCAUACAAGCGUUAGUUAUAUAUGUGUGGUCUUGUCUUGUUA